UAGGGAAUUUUCCACAAUGCCCGCAAGGGUGAUGGAGCGACGCCGCGUGAGGGAUGAAGGUCUUCGGAUUGUAAACCUCUUUCGUUUGGGAAUAAGGUUUUGGCACUAACAUUGCCAAAAUUUGACGGUACCGAAGGAAGAAGCUACGGCUAACUCUGUGCCAGCAGCCGCGGUAAUACAGAGGUAGCGAACGUUGUCCGGAUUUACUGGGCGUAAAGGGCUUGUAGGUGGCCAAAUAAGUCAGUUGUGAAAUCGUUCUGCUCAACAGAACAAUUGCUUCUGAUACUGCUUGGCUUGAGUGCAGGAAGGGAAAAUGGAAUUUCCGGUGUAGCGGUGAAAUGCGUAGAUAUCGGAAAGAACACCUGUGGCGAAGGCGGUUUUCUGGCCUGCAACUGACACUGAGGAGCGAAAGCUAGGGGAGCAAACA
rnacentral:rRNA from 1 species